AAGACCCUCUAGGGUCCACCAGAAGGCCCUAGUCUGAGAAUGCGCUGGCUGGGGGCUGAGCAAAACUCUGCCCCAGAAUGUCUCCCCUGAGUGGCCAGAAAUUCCCGAAAGAUCUCUUGGGAGUGUUUGAUGAGUCACAUAUGUCAGCAAAGCUGAGAGGCAGCACUCGGUUAGACACCUGAGCUCUGCGGGGGACUGCCUGGGCAUGACCUUCAUUCUGCCGCUUUCUAAUUGGACCAUCUUAAAUACGGGGCUCCAGCACUCCAUGCCUGAUUUCCUCAUCUGAAAGGGUCCAGGAGCACCAUUCACAUUGAGUGUGACAGGCGCGUCAUCCCUGGAGGUGGGUAGCGCUGUGGCCCUCUUGCUGAGAACCGAAGCAAUGUUGAGAUCUGCUAGGAACUGUGAGAAGCAAGAAGAACUUAACCUGAUUCCUGGCACUUUAAUCAAAAAUGCACUAGAAAUGUUUAUUGUAAAAACAACGGAAGGCCUGUUUCCAGGAUGAUCUGGCAGCUGCACGGAGGCUGGUUUGGGUGUUGAGGACCAGCUUCCUGGCGCCAGAAUCCACCAUCCACCACAGAAGCAGACAACCAAGGACAUCCACCUGUAGCGAGGAGGAUCUGGCCAUCCUCCUCGCUACAAGCAGCCUCACAAGGCCAAACACAGGCUGGUGGGAAAGCACCCAGCAGCAAGGCUGCAGGCUCCCCUUCACUACAAGCAGCUGCAUUCCUUGCUACCUUUCAAACCCCUUGCCUCCCAUCUUUUGGGGAGAUGAGACAAACAUGUCUUCUGGUUGAUGUCACCCAAAAUAAAAACUCUUUCCUUGCCAUAAGCCUGGCGUUCCAGUUUUUAUUUAGCCCCUCUUGUGUAGGGGG
rnacentral:lncRNA from 1 species